UACGUAGGGUGCAAGCGUUGUUCGGAAUUAUUGGGCGUAAAGCGCGUGUAGGCGGCUUUGCAAGUCGGGUGUGAAAUCCCCGGGCUCAACCUGGGAACUGCAUUUGUGACUGCACGGCUGGAGUGCGGCAGAGGGGGAUGGAAUUCCGCGUGUAGCAGUGAAAUGCGUAGAUAUGCGGAGGAACACCGAUGGCGAAGGCAAUCCCCUGGGCCUGCACUGACGCUGAGGCGCGAAAGCGUGGGGAGCAAACAGG
rnacentral:rRNA from 1 species